CAGAGACGAUGACUGGGAGCAGAAGAUUGAGGCCCUGAUCUCCAUCGGGUCUCUGUCCCAGCACCACGCUGAGGUGCUGCUGCCCAGGCUGCAUGAUGUGUGUCUGGCCGUCUACCACGAGGUGAAGAACCUGCGCUCGAUGGUUUCCCGUGCUGCCAUGGUGACGCUGGCCCACCUGCACGCUCACUUGGGGCGAGGCAUGGACACGGAGGCCGAGGGCACAGCCCAAACACUGCUGCCGAAAGCUGGAGAGGCCAGCGGCUUCAUCAGGGAGGACAUGGAGCUGGCACUGGGGUACAUGGUGCUCAACGUCACCCCUCUCGCAGCAUGAACGCCCUCAUCAACACAGGACUCAGAUCCUUGCUCCUGAUAUCCUGAUGUAUGGGUUGUAUUUCAUUAUAUGACUCCAGCAGAAAAUUCACAGAAAGGAGAGUGGUGUCAAACUACAAGACAGCCAGCAUGCAAGCAAGGCCUUGAUUGUCCUUGUUUGGCUACUCAUUUGUCUACUUCCUGAAGAGGCUGAAGCAUGCUGGCCUUGACACCUCAGUCCUUGCUUCCAUUAACAGCUGUGUUAUGGAGUGCAUCCUCACAUCAUGGUCUAUUGCAGCGGUGGAUACAGAGGACAGUUGACAGGUUGUCAACUUUUUGAUUUGUCAUCACUGAAGCAGACCCACGGUCACCUUAAUGAGAGUGUUGCCACAGCCCCUGCAUAAGAAACUCCAGAAGAUCCACAUUAUCUUGCCUUAUUUACUACCUGACUUACAUUCAGUACUGCUGUAGGAAUGUUUAUUAAACAGGAAGCUAGCAGGAUAGACUGAACAAACAGGCUUUUAUUGUUCACUGCUGAGAUGCUGUUGAUAUGCACGCAUAAUUAUUAAAAGUUCUUGGUGUGACAACUUGCGCUGUCUCCCAGUCCCAACAAACAAAUCUGGAAAGAUAAAACGCAAUAUGUUAAAAUCAAAUUUGAAAACAUGCCAAAAUAUAUGAAGAUUUUUCCCUCCAUUAAUUUCAGUAGGACUGUUAUUUGGUGUUGUUGUUUGACUUAUCUUUACUCGAUCAAAACAACAGAACUGCAAUUUUAUUGAUAAUACCUGAAAUACACAAUUAAAAGACAUAACUUUUUCAA